UAAUAAUAAUAGCUCGGGUUUUAAGAGGGCAGUUAGAGGAAUGGAUUUGGAAAUGUUAAAGGACGAUGGUGGCUGUGUGGGCUGCUUGGUUUGCAGUGCAUGAUUCUUAGUUAUAUCUUAGUUAGGCUCAGACUGUUCCUCUCCCCCCUCC